rnacentral:lncRNA from 1 species
UAUAUAUAUAUAUAUAUAUAUAUAGAGUAGGGCUAGAAUAUUUUUACAAGUAUCACCCAAGUGAUACUUGUGUGUUUUUAGCCCUUGGAUGGAGAGAUGUGAGGUUGAGGUGAUGGUGGUAGGUGGUGGUAGGUGGAAUAGUGUUUGAUCCAAGGGCUAUUUGUAAUCAAAAAGUAGAUCCAAUGGCUAAAAACGUGAUAGCAACAUGGGGAUGAUACUUGUAAAAGUAUCCUAGAUCAACUCUAUAUAUAUAUAUAUGAGUUCCGCUACUAUACUUUUAUGAGCAUUGGUUUCCUUAUACUCAUAAACGUUCGGCCCUUAGAUUUAUUCUAUUGAUCAUUUUCAUCCGUUAGAUCAUACUAUUCAACCAACUACCAUUCAACCCUAGGGAACCACUAUUGUUCUAAAUGGGGAUCACCAUCAUCCUAACCACACAUCUCAUCAAUCAAUGGUUAAAAAUUUAUAAGUAUAAGAGAGUCUAUACUCAUAAGAGUAUAGUAGCCCCAGCCUAUAUAUAUAUAUAUAUAUAUAUAUAUAUAUAUGNUCUCUCUCUCUCUCUCUCUCUAUAUAUAUAUAUAUAUAUAUAUAUAUAUAUAUGCUGGUAUACUAUCGGUAGCACCGAGGCCUUCGUGCUACCAAGUUGUUUUCAAUGAUACCGCUUCCAAAUCGACGAUCGGCUCCGUUAGACUUGAUCUACACUAUUGAAAGUAUUUGGAAACUAAAUUUCAUAAUUUUUCGGCGUCAUUUACCUAUCAAACGAGUAGUCUAAAAAUGAACGGCUGAAAAUAAAAAUCUCAUAAAAAAUGAUGAUAGAAGACUUGAAUUUAAAAUCAGAGAUACUGGUCUUUUUCUAAAUAGUAAAAAUAAUUUUCUAUAAAAAUUUUGUCUGAUUUGGAUUGUUUUACACUGUUAAAUUUACAAAUACAUCACAUCUACCAUUAAAAUUGUCAAUUUUGAAAUAUUUUGAUCACUGGCCAAAUAAUGUCGAAAAAUUAUGAAAUUUAGUUUCCAAAUAUUUUUAAUAGUGUAGAUCAAGUCUAACGGAGCCGAUCGUCGAUUUGAAAGCGGUAUCAUUGAAAACAAACUUGGUAGCACGGAGGCCUCGGUGCUACUGAUAAUAUACCAGCCUAGCUCU